AUUGAUCAAAUUGGUAUUAUUCUCGUGCUCCCUUCUCUCUCUUCUAUCAGAUUCUCUUCUCUUUUCUUCAUCUUCCUAAUCUAAACAUUCUGUUGCAGGAUCGGAGCUAUGUCCAUGGAGGUUUACUAUCUUAGUUUCUAGUUUCGUUUAUUUCCUUUCAUUUCUGUACAAUUUCAUUUGAAUGAAAACAGAAAAUUGUUCCAAAAAGAGAAUCGUUCAGUCAUAGUUACAUUUUGUUGAAUUAUAUUUCCUAUAUUGAGGUCAGAUCGUGACAGAUUGUGGGAAGUGUCUGACAUUUUUUUCUUGUCAAACUCUGAACGGACGAAAAUGAAGCUGCAAUUAAAUUUGCAAAAAAAGUUCUAGAGAUUCUCUCAUCCCGAUGAGAAGCAACCUCCUGUGGAGUUUAUUUUGUUCUCCAACUGCUUUGAUGGAAGGACCGUGGAUGCUGUUGCUUUGACAAGCAAAGAACAUUACAGGUCACCUUUUGAAUCGGUAAUACAAGAGUCACUUUCCCAGAGUAUGGAAAUGUUCAAGCAGAAAAUAAGAAAUUCAGAGUGGUAAAAUAGCUAUUGCAUUGGUUGAACCAAUCCAAGGUGAAGGUGGCAUAUGUAGUACAACAAAAGAUCUCUUACAAGUACUGAAGACUUUUUAUGAUACUGCAGAUUCUUUAAUUGUUUCAGAUGAGGCUUGACUACUGAAGAACUAAAGAUUCUAGCACGUCUUAGUAACAAAGCUCGAAAACUGCUAGAGAGACAUUGCACUUGUUGUAAGUCAAUUGCACAUUACGCUACUUUAUUUGAGCAACUCUACCUUGUUUACCCUCAUCAUAAUUGUCAAAAGUAUUUGUAAUUUUGACUGCUGAAACUUAAAUUCCACUAGCUAUAUAUGUAUAUGAGCAUAUCCUGAGAUGUGACACGUAAAAAAGCUUCAUAGUCCCGGAGAAAAUAGCUUGCCACAACGGUCUUUGAGUAAUUUUAAGUAUGGUGAAAUAUUUUAUAGUGUAUUAUUUAUUAUGUGA